rnacentral:rRNA from 1 species
UACACUCCUACGGGAGGCAGCAGUGGGGAAUAUUGCACAAUGGGCGCAAGCCUGAUGCAGCCAUGCCGCGUGUAUGAAGAAGGCCUUCGGGUUGUAAAGUACUUUCAGCGGGGAGGAAGGCGAUAAGGUUAAUAACCUUGUUGAUUGACGUUACCCGCAGAAGAAGCACCGGCUAACUCCGUGCCAGCAGCCGCGGUAAUACGGAGGGUGCAAGCGUUAAUCGGAAUUACUGGGCGUAAAGCGCACGCAGGCGGUCUGUCAAGUCGGAUGUGAAAUCCCCGGGCUCAACCUGGGAACUGCGUUCGAAACUGGCAGGCUAGAGUCUUGUAGAGGGGGGUAGAAUUCCAGGUGUAGCGGUGAAAUGCGUAGAGAUCUGGAGGAAUACCGGUGGCGAAGGCGGCCCCCUGGACAAAGACUGACGCUCAGGUGCGAAAGCGUGGGGAGCAAACAGGAUUAGAUACCCCAGUAGUCCCAU